rnacentral:SRP_RNA from 1 species
GCUGGGCGUGGUGGCGCGUGCCUGUAGUCCCAGCUACUCAGGAGGCUGAGACAGGAGAAUCGCUUGAACCCAGGAAAUAGAAGCUGCAGUGAGCCGAGAUUGCGCCACUGCACUCCAGCCUGGGUGACAGAGCGAGACUUUGUCUCAA